CCUACGGGUGGCAGCAGUGAGGAAUAUUGGUCAAUGGUCGGGAGACUGAACCAGCCAAGCCGCGUGAGGGAUGACGGUACAGUGUAUCGUAAACUUCUUUUGUCAGGGAACAAAGGCGGGGACGUGUCUCCGGCUGAAUGUAUCUGAAGAAAAAGCAUCGGCUAACUCCGUGCCAGCAGCCGCGGUAAUGCGGAGGAUGCGAGCGUUAUCCGGAUUUAUUGGGUUUACAGGGUGCGGAGGCUGUCUGUUAGGUGAAGGGUGAAAGGCCGGGGCUCAACUCCGGACCCGCCGUUGAAACUGGCAGUCUCGAGUUGGAGAGAAGUAUGCGGAAUGCGCGGUGUAGCGGUGAAAUGCAUAGAGAU
rnacentral:rRNA from 1 species